rnacentral:lncRNA from 1 species
CUUCUGAGAUAAUAAGCUGGGUUGAAAUAUUUCCAUAUCCCAUGAUGACUACCACUCACCACCGCCUUACUCCUCGCCAUUACGGUAGAGAUCAGAUCUCGUCGUUCCUAACUACAAAGACAGGUGAUUAAAAAUUUCGAAAAAAGAAGGAUGAGAAUGAAGAAAAAAAAUGAGGUAACAGAUCGGGAUCAGAGGAAAGAUAGGGGAAAAGACUUAAAAUAAUGUCGGAGAUCCGACGGUAAAAGAGAAGAAGAGUGUUUGGAAAGAAGAAUGUGAUGUCCUUUUAUGCUAAAGCACACAACAAUUCAACAAUGUUGGGGGAAAAGAGAAGAGAAUUGAUUCGACAACGCUAACCGCUGAUUUACGUGUGUGAAAAUUCGUUAUUCUCGUGAAUUUCAGAGGUGGACGCUUUGCGAUUGGUUCUCAUUGAUUUACCGGUUUUGUAAAUUUUGUUUAAUAAAAUCUAAACCAGCUAAACUCGACUUUGUCUUCUGAACGGACGAGAGUAGAUCAGGGGGUUUGGAUCGCUUAUCCGGAUUACAAUAAUAAAUGAGACUACAUUAGUCUCUGUGCCACUUUUUGACUUUUCUUUACACUCAGAAGCUACUUUUUAUACGUGAGACACUUUGUUGUGGGUCAUCAAUAAACUGUGAACAAUUUUGCCUUUAAUAUUCAAUGCAUGGAUGGAAGAUACGUGGACGGGUGAUGCGUGGACGGAGAUGAGUGUAAAAAUUUCAGAAGCUUUAUCAGAGCAAGCUCCACAAUAGUUGAACUUAAGGAUACAAUUCCAACAACAAUGUUUGUCUGUGGAUGGAGACGAGAAGAUUUUGAUUAUAUGAAAGCUUUCACCCUCUCCUUUUAGUCGAGUAAGAAAUACCUCGGGAGAUAUCGAUCUUGUAGAUAUAGACGUUAACAUAACCAUGAAUAAAGAACAAGAGAGAUCUUUUAAAUUUAUGGAUAGGGAAUUGAAGGUUGAUCUGGUGGAUAAUAGAUAUAAAAAAAUGCAACAUAUUGAAAGACUAUGAUAUGGAUGCCAAUGUGUCCACAAUCUCAAGGAUGAACAAAUUAAUAACUUCAAACCAAUAACUACCACGUACAUGUCGAGAGAAAAAAACAAGCUUGAGUGAUGAAAACAAAGCUAAACAAACCAAAAAGUUAAAAACGAGUCAUCUCCUCCUCCAAAACCCCUAGUCAAAACGAGUCAGCUCCUCUUCCUGGUGAGCCACACCAUGGAUUCCGAGCUCAACAUCGUCGUGGAUGAGCACGAUGAAGCUGCGGUGGUUCGAGCUCGUUACAAUCCUCCACCAUGAGAUAUGUAGUAUGCUGAAUUUUGAAUUUUAAUCAUAAUUUUACUUGUCCACAAAUAGCCGUCCAUGUUUACCCGUCCAUGUUUACCCGUCCACGCUUUUCUUCCCACACCCAUCCACAUGUGUCGUUCUAUGUUUAUAUUCUACAUGUAGUAAUCCAUGUUUUUCAAACAUCCACAUAUCACUCAUCCAUAACACAAUCAUUAAAUAUAUGUACAAGUAUAGAUUUUAAAAUAUAACAAAAAAAAAUAUCAAAGUGAAUAUCAAAUUAUAGAGAAUAAAAAAAUAUAAUUUAUUAUAUCAACAAAAUUUGCUAUAUGUAUUUUUAAUUUAAAAAUAAACAAAAACAAAAUAUUAAGAAAUAGACUAAACAAUAAUAAAGAAACACACUUUCUAUUUCUUCUUGUUUAACACAAGAUUUAAAGGAAAAAAAACUGAGAUCCAGAGGAGAACAUAGAGAAAGGGUAAAAACACCUGGUAAUCACGGGAGAGAGAAUGACGAUCCCAAAGGACCAUGGAAACGGAGAGGAAGAGGAAGAAAAGAAGAGCAAGACGCCUAGGCCUUCUGAGAUAAUAAGCUGGGUUGAAAUAUUUCCAUAUCCCAUGAUGACUACCACUCACCACCGCCUUACUCCUCGCCAUUACGGUAGAGAUCAGAUCUCGUCGUUCCUAACUACAAAGACAGGUGAUUAAAAAUUUCGAAAAAAGAAGGAUGAGAAUGAAGAAAAAAAAUGAGGUAACAGAUCGGGAUCAGAGGAAAGAUAGGGGAAAAGACUUAAAAUAAUGUCGGAGAUCCGACGGUAAAAGAGAAGAAGAGUGUUUGGAAAGAAGAAUG